AGGAGUAAUCACAGGCAGAUGUCCCAGGCUCAUGCUAUUAUUCAAGGUCUGGCCUCUUCCUUUGUUUGUCUAGGCUGUUGGGAAUGUUUGUACUUGGACCCAACUGACCAGACCGGAAUCGAUAACACUUGACACCUAAACACAAUGAAAGUAGAAAAUCAAACAGAGCACUGUCCUCAAUUUCUUUGUCAACCAAGAAAAGAAAUUAAAAAUUUCACACAGACAGACAUGAAUUCACAGAAAUUUACCUAAUCAAGAAAUACUCUUCAAAGAAUGGAAUUCCAUGUUGCUUCCGCCAGCAGGCCUGAACAUAUUAGUUAAAGUCCAGAGUAUUUGAGAUAUCAGUGAACAUCUACUGACAAUGGAUCAAACAUUAACUUAUCUCCACCAGCCUUACCAAUCUGUUUUUCACACAGUUAAUUACAAUAAUAAUAUAAAAAUGCUAACAAAAAGAAUGAACACAACAUAAAAUUAAAAGAACCAAAUGACUCACAGCAGCAACUCCUUUACUCUGAGGAUUUUUUCUUUAAACUGUACUCUGAAACCCUCCCUGCAACAAAAUUGAUUCAGCAAAUAUAUCAAAAUAAAUAACUUUAAAAAAAAACAAUAAUUAAUGUUUAAAUUGACAAAGGAACAAAAAUAAUAUACAUGAAAAUGAAGAAAGCACUGGGCGGCCUCUUAGGUUUGUUAAGGUCCUUGGCAGCCUUGCCCUUUUUAGUUUUGCGCACGAAAUGCCUAUCACCAUUAACAAAAAAUUGAUUCGGCAAAUAUAUCAAAAUCAAUAAUUUUAAAAAAUAUAUAUAAUUAAUGUUUAAAUUGAUAAAGGAAAAAAAAUAAUAUACAUGAAAAUGAAGAAAGCACUGGGCGGCUCUUAGGUUUGUUAAGGUCCUUGGCAGCCUUGCCCUUUUUAGUUUUGCGCACGGAAUGCCUAUCACCAUUAACAAAAAA
rnacentral:lncRNA from 1 species